CUCAGCACUAACUGGUCAUGCCCUCUGCCUGUUUGUCUCAGUCACCAGCAGAAGCUCAGGACUCCCAAAUUGCCUGCCAUCACCAGGAUUCCUCCCUUCCCCAUAGGUCUGCACAAUCCCCAAUGGGACUCCAUCUUCCAUCCUUCUCCAGCACCCUAAACUCCCCACAAGCCCUCAAGACUCAAGGCUGCACAUCGAAAAAAUGUGCUGUAUCAACCAACUCUUCUCACAAAGCCACCUCCACCUUCUUGUCCUAAGUGAAACCUGAGUUCCGCGUAGUCCUCUCAUGGUCUGGCCAUUUUCUUCUUGCCCAUGCCUUUGUACUCAUUGGGCCAAGGAAUGGGCUAGGCAUCCAUUACACCAACCACUGCUUCUCUUCAUUGCAAAUCCCCAGGUCUUCAGGGACAAUAACAUGCAUGGAGCUGCCAUCUAUGACAACAGUGCCUUCCUUCUUCUGGAUAUCUCCUGAAGGACCUGCCUAAGGCUGUCUUACAGUUAACUUUUUAUGCACCGUGUGUCUCAAGAUUGUGGCUAAGAGCCAUAGCCCUGGAGGAUGUACAGAAGCAUUGCUGUGGCUUAUGACCCAUGGCCACUGUUGGGUCAGGAAGGACAUUGCUUUAAGAGCAGGCCCUACACCUAUGCCAUUUGGCUGGUUGAAUAGAUGAGGGAAAAAUCUGAAAAGGGUAGAUAGCAACACCAAGGCCAGAAGUCUCCUGGGUAUUGUGCUGAUUGGACCACGUACAAGUUCCUCCCUCAUCCUGGCUUCUGUGUGAAGACAUGGAGCAAAAGACUCAGUUGAGUGAAUAUGCUCAAGCAGAGUAUUUCUCAUGGCUUCUGAAACUGAGAUCUGAGAGGUACAAGCACUGCUGUAC